GAUCCUGGCUCAGGAUGAACGCUAGCUACAGGCUUAACACAUGCAAGUCGAGGGGAAACGGCAUUUAGUGCUUGCACCGAAUGGACGUCGACCGGCGCACGGGUGAGUAACGCGUAUCCAACCUACCCAUUACUGUGGGAUAACCUGCCGAAAGGCAGACUAAUACCGCAUGGUCUUCGAUGACGGCAUCAGAUUUGAAGUAAAGAUUUAUCGGUAAUGGAUGGGGAUGCGUCUGAUUAG
rnacentral:rRNA from 1 species